GUCUAUGGCCAUGCUAUACUGAACAAACCCAAUCCGUUUGAUCUCAGAAGCUAAGCAGGGUCGGGCCUGGUUAAGACUUGGAUGAGAGACCACCUAGGAAGACCAGGUGCUAUAGGCA
rnacentral:rRNA from 1 species